AUAAUACUCCCUCAAUCCGGAAUUACUUGUCAUCAAAAUGGAUGUGCCUAGAACUAAAAUACAUCUAGAUACAUCCAUUUCAAUGACAAGUAUUUUCAGACGGAGGGAGUAGUAG
rfam:Triticum aestivum genome assembly, contig: Triticum_aestivum_CS42_TGACv1_scaffold_131972_2BL